UCUGGCGGUAUCUGGAGUCAAAGACCUGCGCAUAAGGUCCUAGUGCCAGUUUUCUUCAACAGACACUGCGCGCGAGGCGAAUGGCCUAUAUAAAUCAUAACAAAUAGCGCAUAAUCAAACGAAAAGUGCCCUUCGAAUUAAGUAUUAUUUUCCCAUAAAAGUACAUUCAAAAAACGUCUAAAGGCUUAUUCUUUCCUAUACCGUAGGUAUCUGAACACAGAUAUAAUCGUAGAGCAAACGUAAGCGAAAAAACGUCAAAUUUGGGGGUGAUUUGUAUAGGCAAAAGUUGG